rnacentral:rRNA from 1 species
UACGUAGGUGGCAAGCGUUAUCCGGAAUUAUUGGGCGUAAAGCGUCCGCAGGUGGCACUUCAGGUCUGUCGUCAAAGACUGGGGCUUAACCCUGGAAAGGCGGUGGAAACUGAAGCGCUAGAGUGCGGUAGGGGUAGAGGGAAUUCCCGGUGUAGCGGUGAAAUGCGUAGAGAUCGGGAAGAACAUCGGUGGCGAAAGCGCUCUACUGGACCGCAACUGACACUCAGGGACGAAAGCGUGGGGAGCGAACAGG